AGAGUUUGAUCCUGGCUCAGAUUGAGCGCUGGCGGCAUGCCUUACACAUGCAAGUCGAACGGCAGCACGGGAGCAAUCCUGGUGGCGAGUGGCGAACGGGUGAGUAAUGUAUCGGAACGUACCAUUGAGUGGGGGAUAACGUAGCGAAAGUUACGCUAAUACCGCAUAUACCCUGAGGGGGAAAGCAGGGGAUCGCAAGACCUUGUGCUCUUUGAGCGGCCGAUAUCAGAUUAGCUAGUUGGUGAGGUAAAGGCUCACCAAGGCGACGAUCUGUAGCGGGUCUGAGAGGAUGAUCCGCCACACUGGAACUGAGACACGGUCCAGACUCCUACGGGAGGCAGCAGUGGGGAAUUUUGGACAAUGGGGGCAACCCUGAUCCAGCCAUGCCGCGUGAGUGAAGAAGGCCUUCGGGUUGUAAAGCUCUUUCGGCCGGGAGGAAAUCGCAUCAGUUAAUACCUGGUGUGGAUGACAGUACCGGAAUAAGAAGCACCGGCUAACUACGUGCCAGCAGCCGCGGUAAUA
rnacentral:rRNA from 1 species